CUUCUCAACUAAUUACUAUUAACUAAUAACUAAUUCAGCCAUGUGGCGUGACCAGAAAAAGCCACAUAUAACUUAUUACCUAAUUAAUUAUUAACUAAUUCAAAAUAUUGGGCAUUCUCAUAAAAUAUCUGUCUAUACUGCAAAAAAAAAAUUAAAAAGAAAUAACUUUUCCAACGAUCUCAUUUAUUCUAAAUCACAGUUAUCCAUUUAAAUUGAGUGCAUCUCACUGGUUGAUCCUAAUAACAAUAAUUAAAAAUAGAUGCGAACACAGGUUUUCUUCACACACACAAUUUUCAAUAAUUAAUAAAUGCUAACUAUAUCUUUAAUAAUUUAAAAUAAAAGAAGAAAGAUAAAAAAGGAAAUAAAAGAAGUUAUCCCAAAAUAAACUACCCAAACCCCCAUGAACGCUCCAAAUGCAUAUUGUUGUGCACGUUCCCCAUUUUCACAUCUGCACACACACCACAAGUGCACGUCCCCACUCCCCAAAUUGUAAAUUCUAAUUCUUUUUAAUUACAAACUUAAGCAAUUUGCUUAAGAAUACUUUCUUUUUCUUAGUUAUAUUUUGAAUUGAUAGUGGGUAAUUAGUUUUAAAAAUAAAGAUUUAAAAUUUGAAUUUAAUACUUAUAGUUUUGGAGAUGGUUACAACUUCCCUAUUUCAUCCUAAUUGUAGGAGUUCUCAAAGUUUUAGUCAUUCAGAAUUACUCUUACACAUCAAGAAGAAGCCGGAAAGAAAAAAAAGAGCAAUGGAAGUUGCAAAGACACGAAAUCGAGGGAGUGAGGAACGAUGCCUUUUGAUUGGGGCUUCAGGGUGUUAAGAGCGAUAUCGUCGGAUCUCAUCCUGUUGAGUCUUCCUAGCACUCUACGAAGGUAAGGCAAGAGGAGAUGAAGCCCAGCCGUUGGUGUUUGCAAGUAUCUUCCUCUUCAUUUGUCGAUUUACAUCCGGAUAUCUUCCUCUUUAUCUGUUAGACUUACAUCCGAAUUAGCGCAUUAUAUGUACUAACCUUUGUGUAAUCUUUAACAGUUAAUUCACAACCACAUACUAUCGCAAAAUGACAAUUGAACAUGUUUCUUUUUUCUUAUCUAACUCAUGCUUCUUUUGAACAUAUGUCAGGACAUUGGCUCCAACUACCUACAUAUUUUUGGUAUCGGCUCUUCCAGUAAUUGCUUUUGGAUAACAAUUGAGAAGAGAUAUAGAUUCUUUUCACUAUAUUUUGAACUUCAUUACUACAUCAAAAGAAAAGUAACAAAAUCAAUGAAUACUGUGGACUUAUAAUUUUGCAUCUUAAUUAGAUGGGAGAGUCAUGAAAACUUUGGUCUCAACAGUUGUAUGUGGUAUGAUACGCUCCAUAUUCGGGGGAAAAUAAACAAUGCAGGAUGUCAAUGUAAGAUUAAAUAAAGCGAGAGGAGUAAGCGAAGAUUAAAUAAAGCGAGAGGAGUAAGAUUAAUAAGAAGUAAAGAUCAAUCAGUGAAUCAUUUAAAUUUGAAAAUUAAUUUUGUUAAGCAUAUCCGGUCUUAUCCAUGAUAUAAAAUUUUGGUAAAGAAAUUACUGAUUGACCAAAACAAUUUUUUUAAGGGAAUGCUGACACUCUUUUGCAUCUUGUCCUAAUCAACAAUUUGUAUACAUAUAAAAAUCACAUUGCCCAUCCCCUACAAAUCCUCUCUAAUAUUUUCUCUUUGAUUUUUUAUUCUCAGUAAUGCUGACAGGGAAUGCCUUGAUGUAGCUUAAUUAAUCUCUAUUGUACAGUUUUUUGCGCAAGAAACUGGAUUGGCGAAAGGUUCAUUAGAUUGUGGUGAUGCUGUUCAAAUUCAGACUGAAGUGGCCGAUAGGACAAGAAGUAUCAUGUUUAAAACCUGUUUAAAAUCUCUUGGCAAGAUUUUUUGAGUGUUGACUUUGUGAGUCAACAAUCGUUUUGCAGACUCGGGUACAAUCUGAUUCUGUGUAUAAUGUGAUGAAAUUUUUUUGUCCUGCAGUGUCUGAUCAAUAGGUAUUAGGCAUCAUGAGGAAGCAGAAGAAUUGGCAUUUGCUUUUGCAAGAUUUACACAAAUUCUUGCAGCUAUGCUAGAUUUGGAUAUCGAGAGCUUGGCAUUUGCUUUUGCAAGAUUACACAAAAGGGAGGCUCCAAAAUCAAUUAUUACAUGGUAGCAUUUCUGAAAUUGGGAAUCAAUCUCAUUUUUUUUUUCGUUUCGUGUCCUUCAAAAAUAUAAUUUAACUAUAAAAAUUACAUUAACAAUACACAUUGUUCUAUUGAUAGAAAAGGAAUCAAAUAAAAAUGGUAGAAUAUACUAAGACUCUAUGAAACAAAAAUGUCAUGAAAGUAGUAGUUUGCACUUGAAGGACAAAACAAUUUGUACAUUAUUAUCUAUUUGUGGAGUCACAGCUAUAUUACCACUUCGAAAUUACAGUAAUUGGAUGCCAUCACUUCUACCAUGUUUAAUCGCUCACCAGUAUCUUCAUGUAUCAUUGUAAGUUUCUCAACUUUUUACUUCCUUUAACUUUGUGUACGUGCAUGGAGAAUAAUGAAUAAUUAGUUUGAUAAUAAUCUAUUGUGUAAAGCUUUUAUGGCUAGAUAAUUACUACGAAUCAAUGGCGGCUGCAAGAGAAUUGGAAGUCAUUGCCCUCUGUAUAUGUAUGUUUAUAGUGCAUAUCAUCUCUGAGAUGCUUAACGGUGACCUUCUUUUUCUGUUUUUUUCAAUCAUAUUUUAUACUUUGUUUUGGUUUCGGUUUCAUUAGCUUGGAGGCAAUGUAUUUUAUAGAAGGUUCACAAUAAACAAAGCAAAGUGCAAAAAAAAGAAAAAGGAAAAAAU